GGCCUGUUGGUCAAGUGGUUAAGACACCGCCCUUUCACGGCGGUAACACGGGUUCGAAUCCCGUACGGGUCA
rnacentral:tRNA from 2 species